rnacentral:rRNA from 1 species
UACGGAGGUCCCAAGCGUUGUUCGGAUUUACUGGGCGUAAAGGGUGCGUAGGUGGCCAGGAAAGUUUGAUGUGAAAGCUCCGAGCUCAACUCGGAAAAUGCAUUGAAUACUACUUGGCUUGAGGAUCGGAGGGGAGACUGGAAUUCUCGGUGUAGCAGUGAAAUGCGUAGAUAUCGAGAGGAACACCAGUGGCGAAGGCGAGUCUCUGGACGAUUCCUGACACUGAGGCACGAAAGCUAGGGGAGCAAACAGG